CUAAGAAUAUUCCGCAAUGGACGGAAGUCUGACGGAGCGACGCCGCGUGGAUGAAGAAGGCCGAAAGGUUGUAAAGUUCUUUUGCUGGGGAAGAAUAACCGCAGGAGGGAAUGCCUGUGGGAUGACAAGAACCGGCGAAUAAGCCCCGGCCAACUACGUGCCAGCAGCCGCGGUAACACGUAGGGGGCGAGCGUUGUUCGGAAUUACUGGGCGUAAAGGGCAUGUAGGCGGCUUGGAAAGCCUGGCGUGAAAGUCUGCAGCUUAACUGCAGGGGUGCGCUGGGAACUGCUGAGCUUGAGUGACGGAGAGGGAGCUGGAAUUCCUGGUGUAGGGGUGAAAUCUGUAGAUAUCAGGAAGAACACCGAUGGCGAGGGCAAGCUCCUGGCCGAUGACUGACGCUGAGGUGCGAAAGUGUGGGGAUCAAACAGGAUUAGAUACCCUGGUAGUCCACACAGUCAACGAUGUGCACUAGGUGCUGGGGCGGUAGCUUCGGUGCCGGAGCGAACGUGGUAAGUGCACCGCCUGGGGAGUAUGCUCGCAAGGGUGAAACUCAAAGGAAUUG
rnacentral:rRNA from 1 species